GAAGGAGAGCACUACCUGGAAUGGAAUCCAGGGGCAAGCACAGGAGGGGUACGGCUGGAAAAACCGCCGUGCAACCCAAAGGUGUGACGCAUACCGAACUAAAGUAGGGAAAUGUGUGAGCCGGCUGCCGAGAAAAGCCGCUAUUGUUUGUACUGUACCCGUACCGUAAACCGACACAGGUGGAUGAGGAGAGAAUCCUAAGGCCGACGGAAGAAGCAUUGCUAAGGAACUCGGCAAAAUGACCCUGUAACUUCGGGAGAAAGGGUGCCUCGAAAGAGGCCGCAGAGAAUAGGCCCAAGCAACUGUUUAGCAAAAACACAGGUCUAUGCAAAACCGCAAGGUGAAGUAUAUGGGCUGACGCCUGCCCGGUGCUGGAAGGUUAAGGGGAGAUGUCAGGAGACGAAGCAUCGAACUUAAGCCCCAGUAAGCGGCGGCCGUAACAAUAACGGUCCUAAGGUAGCGAAAUUCCUUGUCGGGUAAGUUCCGACCCGCACGAAGGGCGUAAUGAUUUGGGCGCUGUCUCGGCAAUGCAUCCGGUGAAAUUGAAGUGCCAGUGAAGAUGCUGGCUACCCGCGCCAGGACGGAAAGACCCCAUGGAGCUUUACUCCAGCUUGAUACUGGGAUUCGGUAUUGUAUGUACAGGAUAGGUGGGAGGCUGAGAAAUGGUGACGCCAGUCGCCAUGGAGCCGCUGUUGGGAUACCACCCUUGCAGUACUGGAUUUCUAACCAGCAGCCGUGAUCCGGCUGGGGGACAAUGUCAGGUGGGGAGUUUGACUGGGGCGGUCGCCUCCGAAAGGGUAUCGGAGGCGCUCAAAGGUUCCCUCAGAAUGGUCGGAAACCAUUCGAAGAGUGCAAAGGCAGAAGGGAGCUUGACUGCGACACCGACGGGUGGGGCAGGUACGAAAGUAGGACUUAGUGAUCCGGUGGUAUUAAGUGGGAAUGCCAUCGCUCAACGGAUAAAAGCUACCCUGGGAUAACAGGCUUAUCACUCCCAAGAGUUCACAUCGACGGAGUGGUUUGGCACCUCGAUGUCGGCUCAUCGCAUCCUGGGGCUGUAGUAGGUCCCAAGGGUUGGGCUGUUCGCCCAUUAAAGCGGUACGCGAGCUGGGUACAGAACGUCGUGAGACAGUUCGGUCCCUAUCCGGCGUGGGCGUAGGAUAUUUGAGAGGAGCUGACCUUAGUACGAGAGGAUCGGGUUGGACUGACCUCUGGUGCACCGGUUGUCAUGCCAAUGGCACAGCCGGGUAGCCAAGUCGGGAAGGGAUAAACGCUGAAGGCAUCUAAGCGUGAAGCCCCCCUCAAGAUGAGAUAUCCCCCGCAUAAGCGGUAAGACCCCUUGAAGACGACGAGGUAGAUAGGGCAGAGGUGAAAGUGCAGUAAUGUAUGGAGCUGACUGCUACUAAUAGGUCGAAGGCUUAAU
rnacentral:rRNA from 1 species